GACGAACGCUGGCGGCGUGCCUAAUACAUGCAAGUUGAGCGCUGAAGGUUGGUACUUGUACCAACUGGAUGAGCAGCGAACGGGUGAGUAACGCGUGGGGAAUCUGCCUUUGAGCGGGGGACAACAUUUGGAAACGAAUGCUAAUACCGCAUAAAAACUUUAAACACAAGUUUUAAGUUUGAAAGAUGCAAUUGCAUCACUCAAAGAUGAUCCCGCGUUGUAUUAGCUAGUUGGUGAGGUAAAGGCUCACCAAGGCGAUGAUACAUAGCCGACCUGAGAGGGUGAUCGGCCACAUUGGGACUGAGACACGGCCCAAACUCCUACGGGAGGCAGCAGUAGGGAAUCUUCGGCAAUGGACGAAAGUCUGACCGAGCAACGCCGCGUGAGUGAAGAAGGUUUUCGGAUCGUAAAACUCUGUUGGUAGAGAAGAACGUUGGUGAGAGUGGAAAGCUCAUCAAGUGACGGUAACUACACAGAAGGGGACGGCUAACUACGUG
rnacentral:rRNA from 1 species